rnacentral:rRNA from 1 species
GUCCACGCGGUAAACGAUGAAUACUAGGUGUUGGGCAGCAAAGCUGUUCGGUGCCGCAGCAAACGCAAUAAGUAUUCCACCUGGGGAGUACGUUCGCAAGAAUGAAACUCAAAGGAAUUGACGGGGACCCCGCACAAGCGGUGGAGCAUGUGGUUUAAUUCGAAGCAACGCGAAGAACCUUACCAAGUCUUGACAUCCCUCUGACCGGUGAGUAAUGUCACCUUUCCUUCGGGACAGGGGAGACAGGUGGUGCAUGGUUGUCGU